rnacentral:tRNA from 1 species
GUGGAUAUAGCUCAGUGGUAGAGCACAUGCUUAGCAUACAUGAGAUCCUAAGUUCAAACCCCAGUAACUCCA